UGAGGAAUAUUGGUCAAUGGACGGAAGUCUGAACCAGCCAUGCCGCGUGGAGGAAGAAGGUCCUAUGGGUUGUAAACUCCUUUUGUUCCAGAGUAAUAAGAGCUUUGCGAAGCUUGAUGAGAGUAUGGGACGAAUAAGCAUCGGCUAACUCCGUGCCAGCAGCCGCGGUAAUACGGAGGAUGCAAGCGUUAUCCGGAUUUAUUGGGUUUAAAGGGUGCGCAGGCGGACUGUUAAGUCAGCGGUGAAAUGCUCAGGCUCAACCUGGGAACUGCCGUUGAUACUGGCAGACUUGAGUACGGACGGCGCCGGCGGAAUGUGUCAUGUAGCGGUGAAAUGCUUAGAUAUGCCACAGAACACCGAUCGCGAAGGCAGCUGGCGAGGCCGGGACUGACGCUCAGGCACGAAAGCGUGGGGAGCAAACAGG
rnacentral:rRNA from 2 species